AUUUGCGCACACAAACCACACAAACUUUAAGCCUCGUGAAGCUGCCCAGGUGGUGUUUAGGAAAUUUUGGUAAAGAAAGAAUGAAGAAGUAUUUGAGGCAGAUUCUAGCUGGCAAGAUGUGAGAAGGGUAAAAGCCGGUUUUAUUUAGUUUUGUUUGUUUAUUUUUAUUUUUACAUUGCAGCUAGUUUGAAAGUUGGUUUCUGGCAAGAGGAAAGAAAAGGCUGCAGCACUAAAGGAAGAAUCAAAGUGUUAAAAGGACGCUCAGAAUGUAGUAUUGUGGCAGGUCGGGAAAACCCUGGUGGUUCCAUUAUUUUAAAAGGAAAUACUGGUGAAUGAAUGAUGAAAGGAAUUUUCAAAUACCACAGUGACUUCAAAAAUUUUGGUGAUGGAUUUGAGAUGGUUAAAAUAUAAUUAAAAAAGAAUUAUCAGAAGGUGUGCCAACAACUGCUUGGUGAUUCCAGGACAAGAUGGCAGAGAAGAAGGACCUGAGCUCACCUCCUCUCAUGAAAUCACCAAAAUCACAACUAACUAACUGCUCAACAACCAUUGACAAAAAGGACUGGAACCUACCAAAAAAGAUAUUUUACUUCCAAAGACAAAGAAGAAGCCACAGUGAAAAGAAGGAGAAUUUGAGUUUUAGAUCUAUGUGUUCUGAGGAUCACAACAUGAGAAGCAUGUUUCAAACUGACCAUCACAGAGUCAGGAGGGUCUUUGGAAGACACAUCACACAUUCAGCUGCUCAGAGAAAACCACCCAUAUUGCCAUAAUGAAGAAAGAAUGUCAGAGAAGCAUUGUCAGAGCUUUUGGAUGUUUCUUACCAUUUGAGGAGUUAAGCAGAGUUGAGUGCAUUUGGCGGCCUUUGUGAAAUUCAUAUAUUUUAUGAUUGAAAUUGUUUUAUGACUUGGGAACUUAUUGAUAAAGCCUUGUAAAGUUAUAGAUAAUAAAUCACAUUUAGUUACAUAUUGAAUGUCAUUUUCAUUGAAAUCACCCUGUUCUUUUAGUACACUUAUCAAGAUUUGUUAUAACAAUAACAUUUGUUUUUUAUUUUUAACUUUUUAUUUUAUAUUGGAGAAUAGUUGAUUAACAAUGUUGUGCUAGUUUCAGGUGUACAACAGAAUGAUUCAGUUAUACAUAUACAUAUAUCUAUUCUUUUUCAAAUUCUUUUCCCAAUUAGGUUGUUACUGAAUAUUGAGUAGAUUUCCCUGUGCUGUACAGUAGGUCCUUGUUGGUUAUCCAUUUUAAAUAUAGCAGUGUGUACAUGUCAAUCCCAAACUCCCUAAUUAUUCCUCCCCUCCACCCUUCCCCCCUUGGUAACCAUGAGUUCAGUCUCUAAGCCUGUGAGUCUGUUUCUGUUUCGUAAAUAAGUUCAUUUGUAUCAUUUUUUUUUUAGAUUCCCCAUAUAAGCGAUGUCAGAUGAUACUUCUUUCUCUGACUUACUUCACUCAGUAUGACAAUAAUAUUUGUAAUCUUUAUUCAUUGUUUAAUAUCCUUGUUCCUUACUAGACUGUUAGCUCCAUGAAGGCAAGAGCCAUGUUUUUUAGUAUGUCAUUGUAAACCUAGGAAAGUACCUAGUACUUAAUAUCUAAUGAAUAAAUUUAUGAAUUUAAAAGAUUGAAAAUUGGCAAUGACUUUGAAAAUCCAAGAUGUAUAGUUGUCAUUCUUUCAGGCUAAAGUGAAAUUCAUUUAAUAUUUCUGGAAAGCUCCAUGUAAGAACAUUGUUUAUGUUUCCUGAGGUGUCAAUUGCCAUAUCAAAGGUCUUGUUGCCGGAUAACCAUGCCCUAAAUUUUCAUACUCAAAAGGCAGUAAACUCCCCUGUCAAUCUUUCACAAAAUGCAGUUAACACUAAGUUUGGGUUGACACAUUCACCAUCAAAAUUUUAGCAACUUGAUGCUGGGUAAGUUGUUUAAAAUACUUUCACUAAAUAACAAAUGCUGGGAAGGGUGUGGAGAAAAGGGAACCCUCCUACACUGUUGGUGGGAAUGUAAGUUGCUGCAACCACUAUGGAAAACAGUACAGAGGUUCCUCAGAAAACUAAAAAUAGAAUUACUGUAUGAUCCAGCAAUCCCACUCCUAGGCAUAUACCUGGACAAAACCAUAAUUCAAAAAGAUACAUGCACCCCUAUGUUCAUAGCAGCACUAUUCACAAUAGCCAAAACAUGGAAACAACCUGAAUGUCCAUUGGCAGAUGAAUGGAUAAGAAGAUGUGGUACAUAUAUACAGUGGAAUACUACUUAGCCAUAAAAAAGAACAAAAUAAUGCCACUUGCAGCAAGAGGGAUGCAGCUAGAGAUUAUCAUACUAAGUGAAGUUAAGUCAGAAAGAGAAAGACAAAUACCAUAUAUCACUUGUAUGCGGAAUCUAAAAUAUGGCACAAAUGAACCUAUCUAUACAACAGAGACAGGCUCACAGACUUGAGAGAUCAGACUUGCGGUUGCCAAGGGGGAGAGGGGGAGGGAGAGGGA